GAUGAACGCUGGCGGCGUGCCUAAUACAUGCAAGUCGAGCGAACGGACGAGAAGCUUGCUUUUCUGAUGUUAACGGCGGACGGGUGAGUCACAUGUGGAUAACCUACCUAUAAGACUGGGAUAACUUCGGGAAACCGGAGCUAAUACCGGAUAAUAUUUUGAACCGCAUGGUUCAAGAGUGAAAGACGGUCUUGCUGUCUCUUAUAGAUGGAUCCGCGCUGCAUUAGCUAGUUGUUAAGGUAACGGCUUACCAAGGCAACGAUGCAUAGCCGCCCUGAGAGGGAGGUCGGCCACACUGGAACUGAGACACAGCCCACACUCCUACGGUAGGAAGCAGUAGGGAAUCUUCCGCAAUGGGCGAAUGCCUGACGGAGCAACGCCGCGUGAGUGAUGAAGGUCUCCGGAUCGUAAAACUCUGUUAUUAGGGAAGAACAUAUGUGUAAGUAACUGUGCACAUCUUGACGGUACCUAAUCAGAAAGCCACGGCUAACUACGUG
rnacentral:rRNA from 1 species